AGAGAUGUGUGAUGACGCAUAUCAAUAAGCGGAGGAAAAGAAACUAACAAGGAUUCCCUUAGUAACGGCGAGUGAAGCGGGAAGAGCUCAAAUUUGAAAUCUCCAAGGUUCUACCUUGACGAAUUGUAGUUUAUAGAAGUGUUUUCUGUUAGUGGAGUGGCAAAAGUUCUUUGGAAUUAGGACAUCAUAGAGGGUGAGAAUCCCGUAUUUGGUCAUUCCUCCUAGCUUUGUGAUACACUUUCAACGAGUCGGAUUGUUUGGGAAUGCAGUCCAAAAUGGGUGGUAAAUUUCAUCUAAAGCUAAAUAUUGGCGAGAGACCGAUAGCGAACAAGUACCGUGAGGGAAAGAUGAAAAGAACUUUGAAAAGAGAGUUAAACAGUACGUGAAAUUGUCAAAAGGGAAGCGUUUGACACCAGUGUUGUUUUCUCGAAAAUCAAUUACGAAUGUUUUAUUUUUGAGGAGUUAUGACUUCAUCGGCUUGCUCCUUUCUUUAUGAAACUUUCUUAAUGCACUUUUCGGUUAACAAGUCAACAUCAAUUUCUUUUGUUGUAAAAGGGUAUGAGGAAGGUGGCUUUCUUUUCGGAGAAAGUGUUUAUAGCCUUGUACCUCUGCAAUCGGAAAGAUUGAGGUCUGCAGCGUAGAUCCUUCGGGGUUAGAUACAUUUGUGCUAAGUUAUAGCUUUUCAUAGACAACUUGUUGACUAUGUUUAGUCUUGUAGCUUACUCGCUUACUGCUAUUUUACCUACGCUUAGGAUGUUGAGUCGUAGAGCACGCAG
rnacentral:rRNA from 1 species